rnacentral:tRNA from 1 species
GCCCGGAUGGUGAAAUUGGUAGACACAGGAGACUUAAAAUCUCCCGACCUUACGGUUGUGCGGGUUCAAGUCCCGCUCCGGGCACCA